GUGCUUGCUUCUGGCAGCACAUAAACUAAAAUCGGAACAACACAGGGAGAUUGGCAUAGUCCCUGUGCAAGGAUGACACGCAAGUGUUUAAUAAAAUAUUUUA
ensembl:snRNA U6 U6 spliceosomal RNA